rnacentral:rRNA from 1 species
UACGUAGGGCGCAAGCGUUGUCCGGAAUUACUGGGCGUAAAGGGCUCGUAGGUGGCCAACUAAGUCAGACGUGAAAUCCCUCGGCUUAACCGGGGAACUGCGUCUGAUACUGGAUGGCUUGAGUUUGGGAGAGGGAUGCGGAAUUCCUGGUGUAGCGGUGAAAUGCGCAGAUAUCAGGAGGAACACCGGUGGCGAAGGCGGAUCUCUGGGCCGAUACUGACGCUGAGGAGCGAAAGCGUGGGGAGCGAACAGG